GGCCAUAUCACAUUGAUACAGCAGUUCUUGUCUGAUCAUCAAAGUUAAACAAGGUUGAACUUGGUCAGUACUUAGAUGGGUGACCACUCAGAAAUACCACGUGUUGUAAG